rnacentral:rRNA from 1 species
UACAGAGGGGGCAAGCGUUGUUCGGAAUUACUGGGCGUAAAGGGCGCGUAGGCGGCCUUCUAAGUCGAACGUGAAAUCCCUGGGCUCAACCCAGGAAUUGCGUCCGAUACUGGGAGGCUUGAAUCCGGGAGAGGGAUGUGGAAUUCCAGGUGUAGCGGUGAAAUGCGUAGAUAUCAGGAGGAACACCGAUAGCGAAGGCAGCUCGCUGGGACGGUACUGACGCUGAGGCGCGAAAGCGUGGGGAGCGAACAGG